rnacentral:rRNA from 1 species
GACAGAGGGUGCAAACGUUGUUCGGAAUUACUGGGCGUAAAGCGUGUGUAGGCGGCUAUGUAGUCGGAUGUUAAAGCCCCAGGCUCAACCUGGGAAGUGCACUCGAUACUGCGUAGCUUGAGUACUGGAGAGGUUGGUGGAAUUCUCGGUGUAGAGGUGAAAUUCGUAGAUAUCGAGAGGAACACCGGUGGCGAAGGCGGCCAACUGGACAGAUACUGACGCUGAGACACGAAAGCGUGGGGAGCAAACAGG